rnacentral:rRNA from 1 species
GGCAGAGCGAAUCGCUAAAAGCCGUCCCAGUUCGGAUUGCAGGCUGCAACCCGCCUGCAUGAAGUUGGAAUCGCUAGUAAUCGCGGAUCAGCAUGCCGCGGUGAAUACGUUCCCGGGCCUUGUACACACCGCCCGUCACACCACGGAAGUUGGGAGUACCCAAAGUAGGUUGCCUAACCGCAAGGAGGGCGCUUCCUAAGGUAAGACCGAUGACUGGGGUGAAGUCGUAACAAGGUACC